rnacentral:lncRNA from 1 species
GAAAAGGUAUAAAGGCGACAUGUAAAAGAAAAUAUAUAUGUCAUUUUAGCAGGAAGUAUAUCCAGAAUGUAUGAGAACAUGUGUUGAAAAGAAUUGCUAUCAUAGCCUAACAUUUUUUUAGUUGCACACAUCACAUGUCGAUGUUACAAAUAGAUCAGGUGCCCACAUGCCUUUGAUUUUCCCCUAACAGACUGACUUAGAGCAUGGAUAGUUGGUGCGGGUCUGUAUGUGGUUGCCAAUGGAGUAACUUGCAAUUCCACACCCAGUCUAACAAAAUGAUAAUGUCCACCUCAUGACUUCGGUUCCAUGUCUCCACAAAGCUGGCAGAAUUGAGAAUCACAAAUCAUGAGAAAGGGAAUACACGCAAGAUGUCACGAACAUAAAUUGGUCAAAAGUUCAGGGAUCAAUGAACGGUACCUACAAACCCAAGCAUGAUAGACAGGAAGUACAUCAUGGCGCACGGUACCAAAUGACCAGAAAGCAAAAACCAAAUCAGAAAAAUACAAACCUAGAUUCCUAAAUAAAUAGAGGAUGCAAUUUCUUAUAAUUCUAAAUUGUAGUAUGGAGAUCGCUGUAUGGCCCAUGCACCAAGGUUCUAAGAAAAGUUGGCAUAACAAUCAAGCAUUGCAAAUACUUGGUAUUUUCUAACAGGAAAGGAGAGGGGUCUCUCACCUAGCGAAGCGAUAGGGGGGGGAGGCAACAGGCAAGAACAAUAACAAUGAAAACUGGUGCACGUGUCGUCAUAAAGAUACUUGUAUAUGUGCGCCUAAUCAUAUCCUGCAUCUGUUUAAAUUGUCUGGGAGACAUAUAUUAGAUGACAUAAAAGUAUAUUGUGGGUAAUUCAAGAAAUCUAUAUAUCCUAGAAAAAUAAGUGAUUUACAAUUGAUCAAAGGCAUCCUCUUUAUCAUGUGGACACACAAGAAGAAAAUUUCAGACCAAAUGUGGCAGAUCAGAUUGUCUUUUCAGCUUGUGAAAAAGAGUCAGCUUUUUUUAGGGAUAAUAAGUCAAAAAGGUUAUGUUGUGUUUGCAGGGAACAUAACGUCCUAACGGUGGAUACUCGAGUGGUAUAAGCAGGUAGUAUUUUUAUCUCAUUUAGUCGCAUUAAAAUGAACCUAGACUAUAUACUGCAGCUAAUAUAUUUCAUAUUAGCGUAAAGGGAGAAGCCCAGUGAAAUCAGCUAAGAAUUCAUCUAGGAAUGAUCCGUUCUGUUAUUUUCAAGGGCACAUAUCAAAUGAUCCCAAGUAAGAAUUUCAAAGUUGUGGAAUCUCAAAAGAUCCAUCUAGGAACGCAAGUACGGCAACUAAAUAGUGAUUAAAUUAAUGUUUGAGCUUGGAUAAGCUUACCUGGGUGGCCUCUUCUCCAAACGGUCCUCAACUUUGGGACAUAGAUGGCUUGCUUAAUGAAAUCCGGGCAGCAUGAGCCUCUUCAAAUGGAAUGGUCCCUGUCAUUGCCCUCAAAACAUUAGACCAUGCUUAGUUAUAAAUCACGUCACACAUAGCUUAAUUUUUUGGGUAGUUGUAAACAUUGUACAUCAAAAGUUAAAUAAAAGCCCAAAAGAGAACUCCAAUGACUACAUUAUAAUGCAUUGCCACUUACCCAUGAUCAACACAACAAGAUCGAAGGACGUGUCGACGGGCGGCAAGAGGGGCCUGACAGGGAGGUCCGUGCAGGAUCUGGAAGGAACACACACCAGUGAUGCAAAGCUCAGAACCAACAGAUUGAAAGAAAGCGGCUUAAAUAUUCAUACACAGCAGGCUAAUCAGGUUAAUUUACCAUACAUACGAGCAACUACCACAGAAUAGUUGGAUCUACCCAAGCAGUUCUACAUAAGCUUACAAGCUCGCAAAAUGCCCACACAUUAUGGACCCCUACCUCAAACUGCAAAUCCAGAUCAGAUCCACUAAGAUGCAGCAGCAGAGGCUAACUUCCCAACAAAUCAUCAAUCCCCGAACCCCUUUGCUUAUCCCCAAUCGAAUGGAUCAUCGAGCAAACAGAGCGGGGGCGAACAGGAUCAAAUCGAUGAAACGACCCAGCAUCAGGUGCGGCUGAUUCCGUCCCAGAUCCGCCCGGAUCGACGCGACAGGAAAAGAAAUCAACGGUGAAUCAUCCUGCGGGGAGGCGGAUCGAGUUCGUACCUGACGGAGAGAGGCGACUCGAAUCACGUGGAAGACGAGAAGGAUCCGUGGGGAAAAGUUAUCCUCUGCUGCUCCUCUCGUCGUCGUGGCCCCGACCAGACCGUGCCUGCGAUGGUGAGGAGCAACCUCGACGGGGAGGGCAGAGGCUCAAACGAUAAGCUCCAUCUCCGGUCGACUGGCAAGGCAACCCCAACGGCACGGCACCGUCUGAACUGCAAAUCAAGCAGAGAAACAAGAAAGAGAGUAAGAAACGAGCAGAGCACAAGAGAUCCGCGAGAGGUAGAGGAACCACCCAAAUACUUGAACUUUCAUAAAGUAAUAAAAACAGAAGUUUCAGCGUAUCAGCAACCCAAAUACCCGAACCUUCAUCCUUAUUUAACCCUUCUUUUGUGCAGGUAAUUUAUUUUACACUCCAGUCGCAAGCUUAUUCAAACUGCACCCGGCAAACUAAUAUAUAAAUGUAGACAACCAUCAACAGGCCUUCUCCCAUACCAAGUCCACACAAUCAGUUCAUAGCCUUUUUUAGAACACUUCAUAGAUAUCUAAUUGGAAUUUUAUUUGCCAUCUAUUUUUUGCAAGUAAAAAAACUGCUAGAAAAUAUAGAACAAAUCCAGUGACUUAAAUAUACCCAAUCGAGUAACAAAGCAUGCAACUUACCAAUAAUGAAUCAUUUAAGCAAUAGUUUUAGUGGACCAUCCACCUUGAAUAAUUAACAUCUACCAUUCCAUAUGAUACGUUGAAUCCUACCCCAAGUGUUGUAGCGUAUUUCUAGUUUAAUUCAGUUAUAGUUCUCAACCAAAAUUAUCUCCAUAAUCCUCAAUCCAAAUACUUCAAAGCCGUCGACAACAGUUUAUGACAACAGUUUAAAUUUGAACAACACUGGCAGUAAUGGGAUGUGUACAUAUACAUAGUCAUGGGGAUGUGUAUUUUGUAGUCCGUACCUACAAUUGGGCUGACUUCCAUCAAGAGAAUAACAGGCUCCAGCCGGGCAGAUGGAUCUCGUCAGCAACCCAGGCAACUAAAUCCAAGGCAACAAAGUAAGUGCAGCAAGCGAUGUGAUUUGUAGCAGCCUGUGGCUAAAUUAGAUUAGCAAGUCAGUGGGAGGGAGAGGGGAAGUGUUACCUGCAAGGAAGGGAUCCAUUGCCGUCAGGAAGGAAGCAGGGAUCUUGUGCGGUGCGUCGUGGUCGGAAUCGAGCUCGGGUCCUCGUCCUCCUCUGCGUCGUGGUCAUCCUCACUUG